AUGUCGGACGCGCCGGCGAGCCCGCCGGGCGGCGGCUUCGGCGGCGUUAGGGAGCGGGACAGGUUCCUGCCCAUCGCCAACAUCAGCAGCAUCAUGAAGAUGGCCAUCCUGGCCAACGGCAAGAUCACCAAGGACGACAAGGAGACCGUGCGGGAGUGCAUCUCGAAGUUCAUUGCUUCAUCGCCAGCGAGGCGAGCGACAAGUGCCAGAGGGAGAAGUGCAAGACCAUCAACAUCGACGACCUGCUCUGGGCGAUGGCCACGCUAG
rnacentral:rRNA from 1 species